rnacentral:rRNA from 1 species
CUUAGUGGCGGACGGGUGAGUAACGCGUGGGCAACCUGCCCCGUGCCGGGGGAUACCGCCUGGAAACAGGCGCUAAUACCGCAUAAGCGCAUACAGCCGCAUGGCAGUAUGCGGAAAGCUCCGGCGGCACGGGAUGGGCCCGCGCCCGAUUAGCCAGUUGGCGGGGUAACGGCCCACCAAAGCGACGAUCGGUAGCCGGCCUGAGAGGUUGGCCGGCCACAUUGGGACUGAGAUACGGCCCAGACUCCUACGGGAGGCAGCAG